GAUGAACGCUAGCGGCAGGCCUAAUACAUGCAAGUCGAACGAUAGUGAGAAGCUUGCUUCUCACGAAAGUGGCGCACGGGUGCGUAACGCGUAUGCAACCUACCUUAAUCAGGGGGAUAGCCCGAAGAAAUUCGGAUUAACACCGCAUAAAAUCACAGUCUAGCAUUAUACACUGAUCAAAUAUUUAUAGGAUUAAGAUGGGCCUGCGUGACAUUAGUUAGUUGGCGGGGUAACGGCCCACCAAGACCACGAUGUCUAGGAGAUCUGAGAGGAUGACCCCCAACACUAGUACUGAGACACGGACCAGACGCCUACGGGAGGCAGCAGUAAGGAAUAUUGGUAAAUGGAGGCAACUCUGCACCAGCCAUGCCACGUGCAGGAAGACAGCCCUCUGGGUCGUAAACUGCUUUUAUUCGGGAAUAAACCUGUCUACGUGUAGAUAGCUGAAUGUACCGAAGGAAUAAGGAUCGGCUAACUCCGUGCCAGCCGCCGCGGUAA
rnacentral:rRNA from 1 species